rnacentral:rRNA from 1 species
CAGUCGCCGCGGGAAUACGUAGGGUGCAAGCGUUAAUCGGAAUUACUGGGCGUAAAGCGUGCGUAGGUGGUGGUUUAAGUCCGUUGUGAAAGCCCUGGGCUCAACCUGGGAAUUGCAGUGGAUACUGGGUCACUAGAGUGUGGUAGAGGAUAGUGGAAUUUCCGGUGUAGCAGUGAAAUGCGUAGAGAUCGGAAGGAACAUCUGUGGCGAAGGCGACUAUCUGGGCCAACACUGACACUGAGGCACGAAAGCGUGGGGAGCAAACAGGAUUAGAGACCCCCGUAGUCCCUGUCUCUUAUAC